rnacentral:rRNA from 1 species
UACGUAGGGGGCAAGCGUUGUCCGGAAUCAUUGGGCGUAAAGAGCGUGUAGGCGGCCCGGUAAGUCCGCUGUGAAAGUCCAGGGCUCAACCCUGGGAUGCCGGUGGAUACUGUCGGGCUCGAGUCCGGAAGAGGAGUGUGGAAUUCCUGGUGUAGCGGUGAAAUGCGCAGAUAUCGGGAGGAACACCUGUGGCGAAAGCGGCGCACUGGACCACAACUGACGCUGAGGCGCGAAAGCUAGGGGAGCAAACAGG